AAGGAAUAUUGGACAAUGGAGGCAACUCUGAUCCAGCCAUGCCGCGUGAAGGAAUAAGGCCCUAUGGGUUGUAAACUUCUUUUAGACGGGACAAAACCCCUUUACGUGUAAAGGGUUGAUGGUACUGUCAGAAUAAGCAUCGGCUAACUUCGUGCCAGCAGCCGCGGUAAUACGAAGGAUGCAAGCGUUAUCCGGCAUUAUUGGGUUUAAAGGGUGCGUAGGCGGACUAAUAAGUCAGUGGUGAAAGCCUGCAGCUUAACUGCAGAAGUGCCAUUGAUACUGUUAGUCUUGAGUACAGUUGAGGUAGGCGGAAUGUGUCAUGUAGCGGUGAAAUGCUUAGAUAUGACACAGAACACCGAUUGCGAAGGCAGCUUGCUAAGCUGUAACUGACGCUGAGGCACGAAAGCGUGGGGAGCAAACA
rnacentral:rRNA from 1 species